rnacentral:rRNA from 1 species
AUACGUAGGUGGCGAGCGUUGUUCCGGAUUUAUUGGGCGUAAAGGGUCUGUAGGAGGUUUGUUAAAUACGGGGUGAAAUCCGGAAGCUCAACUUCCGAAUUGCCUUGUAGACUGACGGACUAGAGUACCGGAGAGGUAAGCGGAAUACCAGGUGUAGCGGUGGAAUGCGUAGAUAUCUGGUAGAACACCAACAGCGAAGGCAGUUUACUGGACGGAAACUGACUCUGAAAGACGAAAGCAUGGGGAGC